AGCAUUGGUGACCAGCAGAUGGCAGUAGAGAGUAGGACUACAUUGCUAAAACAUGGCACCUAACGUUUGGCCACAAUUUUUUAUCAACAAAAUAAUUUUUGGGACAAUACAGUCGGUUUGGAAUGAAAUUCCAAUGGUAUAAAGAACAGUUUCGGAGACUUGUAUAAAGUCUUUAUUGCAUAAAGAACAGUCAUGAACAAUGAACAGAAGAACUUUUGGGACAAUACAGUCGGUUUGGAAUGAAAUUCCAAUUGCAUAAAGAACAGUUUUGGGAACUUGAAUAAAGAAAUGUCAUGAACAACAAAAGAAAGUGUAAUUGUAUAAAUAACAGUCAUUGACAACAAAAAAUGCAUACACGAACUAAAAAUAUAAAAUA